rnacentral:rRNA from 1 species
AGAGUUUGAUCCUGGCUCAGGAUUAACGCUGGCGGCAUGCCUAAUACAUGCAAGUCGAACGAAAAAUAUAUAGAUGCUUGCAUUUAGAUAUUUUUAGUGGCGAACGGGUGAGUAAUAUAUAGAUAACCUACCUUUAAGUUGGGGAUAACAGAGGGAAACUUUUGCUAAUACCGAAUAAAAUAAUUAGACGCAUGUUUAAUUAUUAAAAGGGGCUUCAAAGCCCCGCUCUAAGAGGGGUCUAUAUCGCAUUAGCUAGUUGGUAAGAUAACAGCCUACCAAGGCUAUGAUGCGUAGCUGUACUGAGAGGUAGAACAGCCACAUUGGGACUGAGAUACGGCCCAAACUCCUACGGGAGGCAGCAGUAGGGAAUUUUCGGCAAUGGGGGGAACCCUGACCGAGCAAUGCCGCGUGAUUGGAGAAGAUCUUCGGAUCGUAAAGAUCUGUUAUUAGGGAAGAAUGGAAUUGAUAGGAAAUGGUCAAUUUAUGACGGUGCCUAAUGAGGAAGCCCCGGCUAACUAUGUGCCAGCAGCCGCGGUAAUACAUAGGGGGCGAGCGUUAUCCGGAAUUAUUGGGCGUAAAGGGUACGUAGGCGGGCCUGCAAGUCUGAUUUGAAAGCACACGGCUUAACCGUGUGAGGUAAUUAGAAACUACAGGUCUAGAGAGUGGUAGAGGUAAAUGGAAUUCCAAGUGGAGCGGUGAAAUGCGUAGAGAUUUGGAGGAACACCAGUGGCGAAGGCGGUUUACUGGGCCACAUCUGACGCUGAUGUACGAAAGCGUGGGGAGCAAACAGGAUUAGAUACCCUGGUAGUCCACGCCGUAACCGAUGAGUACUAAGUUUCGGAAGAAUCCGGUGCUGCAGUUAACGCAUUAAGUACUCCGCCUGAGUAGUACGUGCGCAAGCAUAAAACUCAAAGGAAUUGGCGGGACCUCGCACAAGCGGUGGAUCAUGUUGUUUAAUUCGACGAUACGCGAAGAACCUUACCAGGCCUUGACAUACCGAGCAAAGCUAUGGAAACAUAGUGGAGGUUAACUGGGAUACAGGUGGUGCAUGGUUGUCGUCAGCUCGUGUCGUGAGAUGUUGGGUUAAGUCCCGCAACGAGCGCAACUCUUAUCGCUAUUUGCCAUCAUUAAGUUGGGGAGUAUAGCGAGACUGCCAGUGACAAACUGGAGGAAGGUGGGAAUGACGUCAAAUCAUCAUGCCCCCUAUGGUCUGGGCUACAAACGUGAUACAAUGGUUGGUACAAAGGGAGGCAAAGUCGUGAGGCCAAGCGAACCCCAUAAAACCAAUCUCAGUUCGGAGUGAAGUCUGCAACUCGACUUCAUGAAGUCGGAAUCGCUAGUAAUCGUAGAUCAGAACGCUGCGGUGAAUAAAAGGUCGAGGUUUGCACACACCGCCCGUCAA